rnacentral:sRNA from 1 species
CACCUUUAGUGAAGCCAGCUCCCGCAAACCUUUCUCGACCCAUAUCAUGUUUUCGAGAUUUCCUUCCCCAGAAGUUUCUUGCAAGUUUUGCAAUGAUUUUUCUCUUUCGCCAUAAGUGUUAUUAGCUGCUUGGUGAGGAGACCAGAGGGUAAGAACAAGUGAAGUCAGAACAAUUCCAAACAGUUCUAGUGAAAUUUCUGCAGCAAGAUGAAAAAUAUUACAUUGUGAAACUCCGUCCCUUGCUCUUUGUCCUGCAGAAAGAACAAUCUCUAGAGGAAGAGGUGCAAAUGAUGACCAGUAUUCGUGUUUUCCUCCUGCAAUGUCCGGUUGAAUGCCUGCCACAAUAUUUCACCCAAUUUUAGCUCAUUAUGUACGAUAUUUAGAGAAGCUUUAACAAUAUUGUUAGUGUAACUUUCUGUUUUACGUCACUCGAUCUUAUUCGUUUAU